AUUGAACGCUGGCGGCAUGCCUUACACAUGCAAGUCGAACGGUAACAGGUCUUCGGAUGCUGACGAGUGGCGAACGGGUGAGUAAUACAUCGGAACGUGCCUAGUAGUGGGGGAUAACUACUCGAAAGAGUGGCUAAUACCGCAUGAGAUCUACGGAUGAAAGCAGGGGAUCGCAAGACCUGGUGCUACUAGAGCGGCCGAUGGCAGAUUAGGUAGUUGGUGGGAUAAAAGCUUACCAAGCCGACGAUCUGUAGCUGGACUGAGGGGACGAUCAGCAACACUGCGACGGCGACGUGGGACAGACACAGACGGGAGGCAGGAGGGGGGAAUGUUGGACAAUGGGGGCCAGCCUGAUCCAGCUAGGCGGCGUGCAGGAUGGAGGCGGUCGGGUUGUAAUCUACUUUUGUACGGAACGAGAAGGCAUGGGUUAAGACCCUGGGGUCAUGACGGUACCGGAAUAAGGAGCACCGGCUAACGACGUGCCAGCCGCCGCGGUAAAAC
rnacentral:rRNA from 1 species